rnacentral:rRNA from 1 species
AUUGAACGCUGGCGGCAUGCUUUACACAUGUAAGUCGAACGGCAGCACGGACUUCGGUCUGGUGGCGAGUGGCGAACGGGUGAGUAAUACAUCGGAACGUACCGCGUAGUGGGGGACAACAAGUCAAAAGAUUUGCUAAUACCGCAUACACUCUAUGGAGAAAAGCAGGGGACCUUCGGGCCUUGUGCUAUGCGAGCGGCCGAUGGCUGAUUAGCUAGUUGGUGAGGUAAAGGCUCACCAAGGCAACGAUCAGUAGCGGGUCUUAGAGGACGAUCCGCCACACUGGAACUGAGACACGGUCCAGACUCCUACGGGAGGCAGCAGUGGGGAAUCUUGGACAAUGGGCGCAAGCCUGAUCCAGCAAUGCCGCGUGCGUGAAGAAGGCCUUCGGGUUGUAAAGCGCUUUUGUCAGGGAGCAAAAAGUGGUGGCUAAUACCCAUCGCUCUUGAGAGUACCUGAAGAAUAAGGACCGGCUAACUACGUGCCAGCCGCCGCGGUAAUAC